GACGAACGCUGGCGGCGUGCCUAAUACAUGCAAGUCGAGCGGACUUGACGGAGCUUGCUCCUGAUAGUCAGCGGCGGACGGGUGAGUAACACGUGGGCAACCUGCCUGUAAGACUGGGAUAACUUCGGGAAACCGGAGCUAAUACCGGAUACGUUCUUUUCUCGCAUGAGAGAAGAUGGAAAGACGGUUUCGGCGGUCACUUACAGAUGGGCCCGCGGCGCAUUAGCUAGUUGGUGGGGUAAUGGCCCACCAAGGCGACGAUGCGUAGCCGACCUGAGAGGGUGAUCGGCCACACUGGGACUGAGACACGGCCCAGACUCCUACGGGAGGCAGCAGUAGGGAAUCUUCCGCAAUGGACGAAAGUCUGACGGAGCAACGCCGCGUGAGUGAAGAAGGUUUUCGGAUCGUAAAACUCUGUUGUCAGGGAAGAACAAGUGCCAUAGUAACUGAUGGUACCUUGACGGUACCUGACCAGAAAGCCACGGCUAACUACGUGCCAGCCGCCGCGGUAAAAC
rnacentral:rRNA from 1 species